GGUAGAUCUUAUACUCAUUCCUUUCUAUUGAAGCCACCAAAUCUGAGGAUCGAAGCAAUUAUCGAAGCUCUUCAAGAAAAGAAAGUGGUGAUUCUACUAGAUGGCAUAUCCUGUUACUACAACCCGUAGCUACACAUGUUAAUGGAGUUUAUGCAAGAGAUGAGUCAGCAAAGGUAGCAGAUAAACAGCAAAGACAGACCGUCAAUGGAAGCUCCACCCCUUCUUAGUGAUAUGUGUUUUCGUUUACUACUAAUAUGUAAUGUGAGACUCUUAUUAUUUUGUCUAGGACGUAUUGUUAAAAAUGUUCUGGCCUUCCGAACUUUUGCCCUGAAGUCGACCUCAGCAUAUUUGUGUUGCUUUUGGGCUCUAUGCAUCCAAUUUUGUGUAACUUGCUUGUAGGCAAUGUAGCUUUUUACAAGUUUACCAGUACAUUAAUCUCUAACACAUGUUAUGUGUAACUUGCUGAAAGUCUUAACACACGUUAUAAUAGAGCCUUGACACACGUUAUAUCAGUUA